rnacentral:rRNA from 2 species
CCCGCUGAACUUAAGCAUAUCAAUAAGCGGAGGAAAAGAAACUAACAAGGAUUCCCCUAGUAACGGCGAGUGAAGCGGGAAGAGCUCAAGCUUAAAAUCUCCGUGCAAGUUUUGCGCGGCGAAUUGUAGUCUAUAGAGGCGUGGUCAGCGUGGGCGCUUGGGGCAAGUUCCUUGGAAGAGGACAGCAUGGAGGGUGAUACUCCCGUUCAUCCCUGAGUGGCUCGUGCGUACGACCCGUGUUCUUUGAGUCGCGUUGUUUGGGAAUGCAGCGCAAAGUAGGUGGUAAAUUCCAUCUAAAGCUAAAUAUUGGUGCGAGACCGAUAGCGAACAAGUACCGUGAGGGAAAGAUGAAAAGAACUUUGAAAAGAGAGUUAAAGAGUACCUGAAACUGCUGAAAGGGAACCGAAUCGUUUCCAGUGUCUAUAAUCCGUGGCAUAUUUCAUUGGCGAGUGUGUGCGUGCGUGUGCUGUGGCAGUGGCUUUUUUGGCUGCGCUCGGUGUGUGUGCUGUGUGUGCUUGCUGGUGCCCUGUGCUGCGGUGGGACGUCAAGGUCAGUUCGUAUGCUGCGGGAAAUGGCUGCCGAGGAGGUAGGGCUUACGCUCCGCGUUUGUCUGUUAUAUCUUGGUGGACGAGUCGUCGCGGUUGGGACUGAGGUGCCUACAACGUGCUUUUGAGUGGGUUUGUGUCUCCGUGUGCGCCGUGUGCGGAUAGCUUGCUAUGCGUGUGUGGUUGUGUGUGGAUUGAUGCGGGCUUUAACUUGUCGCCGUUCGGGACGUUGACGAAAUGGAGCGAUCCGACCCGUCUUGAAACACGGACCAAGGAGUCUAACAUGUGUGCAAGUGUUAGGGUGUGGAAACCCCAGCGCGAAAUGAAAGUGAAGGGCAGCGCAAGUUGUCUGAGGUAGGAAACGUUGCGGGCUUCGGUCUGCGGCGUGGCACUAUCGACCGAUCAUGAACCUUCGUGGUGAAAGAUUUGAGUUUGAGCACAUAUGUUGGUACCCGAAAGAUGGUGAACUAUGCCUGAGUAGGGUGAAGCCAGGGGAAACUCUGGUGGAAGCUCGUAGCGAUUCUGACGUGCAAAUCGAUCGUCAAACUUGGGUAUAGGGGCGAAAGACUAAUCGAACCAUCUAGUAGCUGGUUCCCUCCGAAAUUUCCCUCAGGAUAGCAGCAACUUAUUUACGAUAGUUUUAUGAGGUAAAGCGAAUGAUUAGAGGAUUCGGGGAAGAAACUUCCUCGACCUAUUCUCAAACUUUAAAUCUGUAAGACCUGCAGGUUUCUUAAUUGAACUUGUGGAUGUGAAUAUCAAGUUGCUAGUGGGCCAUACGGGGUAAGCUCGUCUGGCG